rnacentral:rRNA from 1 species
AUUGAACGCUGGCGGCAGGCUUAACACAUGCAAGUCGAGCGGGGGAGGUUGCUUCGGUAACUGACCUAGCGGCGGACGGGUGAGUAAUGCUUAGGAAUCUGCCUAUUAGUGGGGGACAACAUUCCGAAAGGGAUGCUAAUACCGCAUACGCCCUACGGGGGAAAGCAGGGGAUCUUCGGACUCUGCGCUAAUAGACGAGCCUAAGUCGGAUUAGCUAGUUGGUGGGGUAAAGGCCUACCAAGGCGACGAUCUGUAGCGGGUCUGAGAGGAUGAUCCGCCACACUGGGACUGAGACACGGCCCAGACUCCUACGGGAGGCAGCAGUGGGGAAUAUUGGACAAUGGGCGGAAGCCUGAUCCAGCCAUGCCGCGUGUGUGAAGAAGGCCUUUUGGUUGUAAAGCACUUUAAGCGAGGAGGAGGCUACUAGUACUAAUACUACUGGAUAGUGGACGUUACUCGCAGAAUAAGCACCGGCUAACUCUGUGCCAGCAGCCGCCGUAACAC